GGGCAGUGGUGGAAUCAAAAACUGUCUGAAUGUGGCACUUGGGGACAUGGGUUAGUGGUGGCCUUGGCAGUGCUGGGUUAUUGUUGGACUUGAUGAUCUUAGAGUGCUUUUCCAACUUAAACAAUUCUAUGCUUCUGUGAUCCUAUUCCAUUUUGUCUGCUUUGUUUAUUUGCUCAUGUUCUCCCUGAAGUGUUUUCCAGAGGAUUCCAAGGGCUGAGGUGGGCUCAGGAGCUGCACUGGAUUCAUGUAAGGGAGACUGGAACAUGUCCUGUGGUCUUGAAGUUUUAGGGAUACAUCAAUAAAGAAAGAUAGCAACAAUUUAUCAUGUGUUUCCCUGGUAACUACAACAUCGUGAACCUUCCUUGAAAACUCCAUUGGGAUUCCUGCAAUGUUUGUGAGCAUAAUGAAUGAAGCUAUUAUCUAUCUCCAAUGUCACAUGUGAAUGUUCCCUGUGGCUGCAAGAGGAGAGGAGACAUUUCUGGCUAAUUCUGAGGCUGCCUAGAGUUGUGACAAGUGUUUUCUGAGGUUCAGCCUUACCCAGAGAUGCAAGUGGUGCUAUCUCCUCUUUCUAAACAUGUUUCUGGUAAAGAACUUAAAACCUAAGACCAAAAUCUGCCUUCUGUCUUCUGGAGACUGACUGAGUUAUGGAUUUAGAAAUAGUCUAAAUAGUCUAAUAGAGUCUAAAUAGGUUAAGAUUUGUGAGCUUCAGAAUAACACAUCCCAGUGUAUUGAUUUAUUUUAUUUUGUACAGAGGGCAUUUUGUACCUGUUUGUUUUGGCUGUGGUGGCAGCCCUGUCCACAGCUAGUGUUGGAAAUGGGGUUAGU
rnacentral:lncRNA from 1 species